rnacentral:rRNA from 1 species
GAUGAACGCUGGCGGCGUGCCUAAUACAUGCAAGUCGAGCGAACAGAUAAGGAGCUUGCUCCUUUGACGUUAGCGGCGGACGGGUGAGUAACACGUGGGUAACCUACCUAUAAGACUGGGAUAACUUCGGGAAACCGGAGCUAAUACCGGAUAACAUUUGGAACCGCAUGGUUCUAAAGUGAAAGAUGGUUUUGCUAUCGCUUAUAGAUGGACCCGCGCCGUAUUAGCUAGUUGGUAAGGUAACGGCUUACCAAGGCGACGAUACGUAGCCGACCUGAGAGGGUGAUCGGCCACACUGGACCUGAGACACGGUCCAGACUCCUACGGGAGGCAGCAGUAGGGAAUCUUCCGCAAUGGGCGAAAGCCUGACGGAGCAACGCCGCGUGAGUGAUGAAGGGUUUCGGCUCGUAAAACUCUGUUAUUAGGGAAGAACAAAUGUGUAAGUAACUGUGCACGUCUUGACGGUACCUAAUCAGAAAGCCACGGCUAACUACGUG